AAUAGAAGCACGUGUACUUGUAGCCUUUGAAGGUUUGUGGAUGAUUGAUUGUUUGUUCAUUUGUUGUAUAUUAUGGACCAUAAAUUAUGGUCAGGUUUGCAAUUAAAUAAUUUGUGGAUAGUUUAGCAUGAGGAAUUCUUUCUGGAAAAGCAAAUUUUAGCAUUAAGAAUGUAAGAUGGAUCUUUAUUUUAUUUUAUUUUAGGGAAAGCCAGAAGAGAGCAAUAUCAAGGACAAG
rnacentral:misc_RNA from 1 species